GGAACAGCUCUGACUUGUUUGGUGAUCAGCACUGGAGAGGAGAGACACCUGGUCCAACAAGGUGACGGACGAGCCGCCACAGGACCUGAGGCAGGAAAAUUGAGUAUCUGUCUUCUGAUGAAACUUCUUCGGGUCCUGCAGUUGUUCGUUGACUCUGGUUUCACCUGCUCAGACAGUGAGCGCUGUUGUCUUUGCUGGUUAUUUACAUAAUAAAUCCUUUUUUUGAAUUACA